CAAUAUAUUUAGAGGAAAUUACGUAGCUACAGCUACUAAAAGAUCACAUUUCAUAUUCCAGGGCUGAAGUUUAUUUGUGCAGUUUUCAGGUUGGAAAUAUUUAACCACCCACUACAAAACCUAAUCCCCAUUCCCGUAUCUCUUGACUAUCUUCUCCCAAUUCUUAACAGUAUUAGCGUCCUGGAAGAUGUUUUUCGGCGCAACAGCAUCACCACCAUCUCACCGCCAACACUACCACCACCUCGCUGUCGUUGAGCGAUGGUUGGUCAUCUCCAUCCCCGUAUCUAUUCUCUUUUCCCAAUUCUCAACAACAGUAGCAGAGCGCCAUAAAAGAAAAUCUCCCGUGUGACGGCGUCACCACCAUCUCGUCGUCGCUACAUAGCAACGUUAUUGAAGUCGUAAAGCGAUUUUGGGUGGUUUGGGACAAAUAGUUGUUUAGAUCUGAGGAGAUCUAUGUUUUGGUUUUGAAUGUAGCGGAUUUGGCGAUGAACUGGUGGCAACUAUUGUGGUUGAUGGGUGGCAAUGGUGGUGAAAUGAGAGUUGGAAGCUGCUUUGGAAGUGCAGUAUCUGGAUUGGGGAGACGGUGGUGCACUAAUAGCGAUGACAAGGGUGGAGAUGGUAAGAUGUUGUUGUUUACAGUAGCCAUGAAUGAAUGUUGGUUGGAAACGCUGGUUAUGGUGUUGAGAUGGUGAAGUGGCAAAGACGUUGGUGAUGGCUUUUGUAGGGUGUUGGUGGAUCUAUAUCCGUUUUGUUUGUGGUGAGGUAAUGUUAGUUGCGGUGUUUGAAAUGAUGGGGUUGUCGGAGAUGGUGGUGGUGGUUUUGGCAAUAGCGAUUUUGAUAGCAAUGCGACUGGUGGUAGUGGUGAGGUGGUAGUCAUAGAUGAUUUAAUUGUUUGUUACCAAGAAAUUGACAUAUGUGAUCAAUCAUUUAGUUAUACGUGACCAAUUAUUUAGUGUGACCUAAAAAUUUAAUAAUCCGUGACCAAAUGAUUUGGACUCGAAAUAAUCUAUGACCCAUAAAUUUUUGACUUGUGACUUUGAAAUAAAUUGUGACCUUCAAAUUUUUUGAUUUGUGACAUCGAAAAAAUUUAUGACCAAUUAAUUUAAUGAUAUGUGAU
rnacentral:lncRNA from 1 species